AGCGUAGACGGCUGUGCAAGUCUGAAGUGAAAGGCAUGGGCUCAACCUGUGGACUGCUUCGGAAACUGUGCAGCUAGAGUGUCGGAGAGGUAAGUGGAAUUCCUAGUGUAGCGGUGAAAUGCGUAGAUAUUAGGAGGAACACCAGUGGCGAAGGCGGCUUACUGGACGAUGACUGACGUUGAGGCUCGAAAGCGUGGGAGCAAACA
rnacentral:rRNA from 1 species